UUGAGAUGGUCACCAGGAGAAGCAGAGGUGGGAGUACCAAGGCCUGAGAAGGGCAGAGUGAAGACUUGCUGGGGGCCUGGAAGCCUGGUGGCCCCAUGGCCCCCCAGCAACCCUGCCUGCUGUGUACCUGUUUGCCACAGCAGUCCUGAGGGCUCCAGGACUCUCCUUUACCUGUCUGCUUGGAUCAUAGGAAUCCUGCUCUGUGCCCAUCUUGCCCUACAGAUGAAGUGCGCACAUUGACCAGGCAGCUCUUCCACCCUGAGCAGCUGAUCACCUGGAAGGAAGAUGCAGGCAAUAAUUUUGCCAGAGGCCAUUAUACCAUCAGCAGGGAGAUUGUUGACCCGGUCCUGGACCAGAUCUGCAAACUGGCAGGCAGACCAGUGCACGGGGCUGCAGGGCUUUCUCAUCUUUCACAGAUUUAGGGGCAGCACCGGCUCCAGAUUUACAUCUCAUGGAGCGUCUGUCAGUGGACUAUAGCAAGAAGUUCAAGCUGGAAUUUGCCAUUUAUCCGGCCCCCCAUGUGUCCACGGCUAUGUUGGAGCCCUACAACUCCAUUCUGACCACCCACGCGACCCUGGAACGUUGUGACUAUGUCUUCAUUUUGGACAACGAAGCCAUCUAUUAGCACAACCUGGACAUCUAACGGCCCAUGUAAGGUCAGGACAGGACACGGGGCAGGUUUCCUAAUAUCCAGCAGACUGGGUAAAGGAGGAGUCAGAGUCCUCAGUGUUUUUGCAGGUC